rnacentral:rRNA from 1 species
UAGGGAAUAUUGCAAAAUGGGCGAAAGCCCGAUGCGGCAACGCCGCGUGGGCGAUGAAGGCCUUCGGGUCGUAAAGCCCUUUUUGAGGGGAUGAGGAAGGACAGUACCCUCAGAAUAAGCCUCGGCUAACUACGUGCCAGCAGCCGCGGUAAAACGUAGGAGGCGAGCGUUAUCCGGAUUUACUGGGCGUAAAGCGCGUGCAGGCGGAUUGGAGAGUUGGAUGUGAAAGCUCCCGGCUUAACUGGGAGAGGUCGUUCAAUACUUCCAGUCUUGAGUGCAGUAGAGGGAAGUGGAAUUCCGGGUGUAGUGGUGAAAUGCGUAGAUAUCCGGAGGAACACCAGUGGCGAAAGCGGCUUCCUGGACUGUAACUGACGCUCAGGUGCGAAAGCGUGGGGAGCAAACA